CACGUACUUCUUCCGUUCCAAAUUACUCGUCGUAGAAAUGAAUGUAUCUAAAACUAAAAUACAUCUAGAUACAUUCAUACCUGCGACAAGUAAUUCAGAAUGGAGGGAGUAUAAG
rnacentral:pre_miRNA from 1 species